GGUCGUGGAGUUGGGCCUUGACAAAAAGAUCCAAUCUUAACAAAUGCAUAAACGCUUUUUCUUUUGCCACCCUUAUACUUCUCGCAUGCAGUCUGCAUUUUCUAUUUUACUCCUUUUUCAAAUACUAUAUUUUGAAAAGGAAAAAAAAAAGCAUGCUGUAAAUUAUAUAAUUUAAAAUAUUCCAAUAUACAAGCCUUUCCCAGCCUCUUCCUCUUAUUUUUAUAUUAAUUGUUUUCUCUAAAGAAUACUAUAAAUCUCAAUGACCACGAGACAAUCAACUUUGAUGUGAAAUUUAUUUUACAACAACAAGCCAAAAAAAUAAACGAGUUUCUACCUUCUUUUCUUUUCCAACUUCCACAUUAAUAUCGGUAUACUGACUUAUUGGCUCUACAUCAAACCAACUACCUGAAGCAGAAUGCCAUCAAUUACAAAGAAAGGUAAUUUUUAUAAUUAUUUUAUGUUUUAACUCUCUUGUUUGUGGAUCUUGCCCUACUUUAACUUUUGGUUCUCAUUCCCUCUAUUAAGACAAACAACCAGUCAUGGUUAACUUAGAACAUGAAGAUGAAGAACAAAAGCAAUUGACUUCAAAGAAAAUAAACAGAUAAAGUGGUUCUCAAAUCAAUGAACCCUCCAAUCAAACGGCAUCCAAAAUUAGUAAAAGACAGUCAACUGAAGUUGCCCUAACAUCAAAGGUUACUUUAUUCUAGAAAGAGUCAAUUGUUCUAAAUUUCUUUCUCAAAAUUGUGUCCCUAAAUUUUAUGUAACCCUAAUUUCUAAUCUAAAUUCACCGUUUUAACAUGAAUUAACCAUUAUCAAACUGUGGAAACGAAAGUGGAGGGUUUGAUAAUUGUUAAUUCAUCAUCUCAAAUAUCAAUUCAUAAAACGAAAGUGGAGUUUUGAUAUUCGAACAAGUGAAUUUAGACAAGGAUUGCAAAGGCAGCGAAAUAGUCUUUGCAAUCCUUGAGACAUAUAAGUUUCAAACUUCAAGGAUUCUAAUAGUAAUCAAGUCAUCGAAAUAGGCUUGGUUGCUAGAGGAACCAAAAUCUAAUAGUAAUCAAGUCAGAGAAAUAGGCUUGAUUGCUAGAGGAACAUAAGAGAAACUUAUCUUUAGAAGUUAGGUCUAACAUAAGGUUCUAGGUUUAAUAGUUUGGUUUGUGAUGGGUUUGUCAUUAUGACAAACCAAUAAUCUCAAGGCGCCUUUUUAUUAUUAUUGUUAAUUUCAUUCAGUUAAAAAUCAAAACUUUAUAAUCUCAAACUCUCAUCUAAUCAUUAUUUAAAGUUAAUUGAAUUCAUAACUCCCUGUCGAAAUGAUACUCAUCUUUUUACUACUUCGGUAGAACGGUGCACUUGCGGUUUUAUCUCAUCAGUUAGUUCGACUUCGAAGCUUGAAGCAUCUAAAACUCAUAGAUUUCAAGAGUAAGGUUCGCCUCUUCCGAAUCAACCGCUUUCAUGGAAAUUCUCUCACCGACAAGCUCAACCAUUAACCCUUAAUUUAUUUAUUUUGGAUUUAUUUAGAAUAUUUUAUGUGAUUUUAAAUAAUAUGUGUGAUUUAUGUGGUGUGUAUUAUUUUAUUAUAUGAUUUAUUUUAAUAUAAUGAGAAUAUUAUAAGAAAUAGAAUUAUUUUGGAGUUUGGGGAGUUAAUUAGGAUUUAAUAAAAAUUAAGGGAGUUUAAUGAAAUAAAGGAGGAGUUAUAGUUUUGGGAGUUAGGAAAAGAAAGAGUCAGAAUCAGUUUUUACGUGAAACAAGUUUUGGAGAGGAAAACCAAGAACAAGAGAGAAGAGCCUAGGAACCGAUUUUGCUGUGCAAUCUUUCUGCAAAUCUAAGGUGAGGGUGAGACUAUCUCUCAAUAAUCAUAGUAUAUAAUUUCUGAAAAUUGUUUUAACAUGAAUUGUUCUUGAGAUAAAAAUUGGGAAUUAGGGUUCUAUACUGAUUUUGAAGGGAAAGUGUAGGAAUCAUGUUAAUGUGUUUAGUUUUCGUAUUCAGAAUGAUUUCUUGAUCUAUAAUGUUGUUGUGAUCAGAAUUUUGAAUGAAAUUAGAAUUUGUUGGAUAAAUUGGAGAAGUUUUGUAUGAUUGCUAGAAUGAUCUGAAUUGUUGUUGUUGAUGCCUGUUUUGUGUUCCUUUAGAUGUCUAGUUGUGUAAUGAACCUGUAAACAUCUGUUGGAAAACGUUUUGGGUGAUCAGGGGAUUAAAAUUAGGUUUUUGGAGUGAGAAGAGGUUGAACCCGUAGAUUUUUGCACUGCCCAGAUGAAUGGUCGCUUAAGCGAACGACCCGUCGCUUAAGCGAGCAUUCAAGCAAGCUGCCCAGAAUUCGAUUUUGUCAGUUCGCUUAAGUGAACAGUGAGCGAGCCUGUAAGCGAAAAAUCAUUUUCAUUCUUCCAGAAGUUCGCUCAAGCGAACCGUUAGCGAGCGGAACCCAAACUUUCUGUGAGCCGGUCGCUUAAGCGAAGAUGACCUUAGUCAGCCACUUUUUGAACCUUGCCUCGUGCACUAGGGGAUCCUUUUGAGCAUUUUUAAAUGUUCCUUUCAACUUGUAAGACCAUUAUAUAUACCCUGAAUCCUACUGAACACAUUGUUAAUCGAGUUGGUUUAAUUUAAUGAAAUUUCGGAUUGGAGUUGGAGUGAGUAUGAAACCAAGCGAAAAUAUAUUAUGUUGAAUGAACUUGAUGUAUUAGUAUGAUUGCUAUUAAUUAUACAGUUUUCUGAUGUUGGAUUGGUUGUGAUGAAGUUGUCGAAUUAUGAAGUCGUAUGUCAUAUAUACACAUAUGCAUUGUCGAGUUGUAUGUAGAUAUACACAAGUGGAGUCGGUUGCAUAAGCAUAAAAGCGGGAGGGUUUCGGCCCUGGAACGCCUUGUCGUUUAAAGCGGUGGAACACUUUGUUGUUCAAAGCGGUGUUUAGCGGUGAUGACUUAUGUCCUGAAAAGAAUGCUUUAACCAUUCGAAUAGCGGUGAGGGCUCCGGCCCUGAAUAUGGUACCACAUGCAUAUUGCAUUUGUCGAGGAGUCUUAGUAAUGUUGUCAUGCCAUUACAUGAGUCGUUGUUGUUGAUUGUAUUGUUGUAUUAUUGAUGAUGUUGUUGAUUAUGAAAUAUUUAUGCAUAUUGAAUAAUCAUUGAUAUGUUGGGGUGUAAGAUUCAAUUGAUGUUAUUAUAUAUUAUUAUUAUUGUUUGUGAAUCUCACCCCUUCUGCUUGAAAAUGUUGUCCUUCCUAUGGGUAACUUGCAGGUGAUUCUGAGUAGUAGGUGGUGGCUCAAAGUGUCUAGGGCUCUGAUACGUGGGAUGAGAUU
rnacentral:lncRNA from 1 species